rnacentral:rRNA from 1 species
UAGGGAAUCUUCCGCAAUGGGCGAAAGCCUGACGGAGCAACGCCGCGUGAGUGAUGAAGGUCUUCGGAUCGUAAAACUCUGUUAUUAGGGAAGACCAAAUGUGUAAGUAACUAUGCACGUCUUGACGGUACCUAAUCAGAAAGCCACGGCUAACUACGUGCCAGCAGCCGCGGUAAUACGUAGGUGGCAAGCGUUAUCCGGAAUUAUUGGGCGUAAAGCGCGCGUAGGCGGUUUUUUAAGUCUGAUGUGAAAGCCCACGGCUCAACCGUGGAGGGUCAUUGGAAACUGGAAAACUUGAGUGCAGAAGAGGAAAGUGGAAUUCCAUGUGUAGCGGUGAAAUGCGCAGAGAUAUGGAGGAACACCAGUGGCGAAGGCGACUUUCUGGUCUGUAACUGACGCUGAUGUGCGAAAGCGUGGGGAUCAAACAGG